UGGGGAAUAUUGCACAAUGGGCGCAAGCCUGAUGCAGCCAUGCCGCGUGUGUGAAGAAGGCCUUCGGGUUGUAAAGCACUUUCAGCGAGGAGGAAGGUGGUGAGCUUAAUACGCUCAUCAAUUGGCGUUACUCGCAGAAGAAGCACCGGCUAACUCCGUGCCAGCAGCCGCGGUAAUACGGAGGGUGCAAGCGUUAAUCGGAAUUACUGGGCGUAAAGCGCACGCAGGCGGUUUGUUAAGUCAGAUGUGAAAUCCCCGGGCUCAACCUGGGAACUGCAUUUGAAACUGGCAAGCUAGAGUCUCGUAGAGGGGGGUAGAAUUCCAGGUGUAGCGGUGAAAUGCGUAGAGAUCUGGAGGAAUACCGGUGGCGAAAGGCGGCCCCCUGGACGAAGACUGACGCUCAGGUGCGAAAAGCGUGGGGAGCAAAACAGGAUUAGAUACCCUGGUAGUCCACGCUGUAAAACGAAUGUCGAUUUGGAGGUUGUG
rnacentral:rRNA from 1 species